GCGAGAGGAAGACCUCGCGUGCUCAAGUCUCCGCCAUUCGCCUCUUCAAAAUCCCGUUCGAUUCCAGUCUCUUCGUGCGAAAUCCUCGCCUCCGAUCCGCAGAGAGAGCGGCAUUUUCUGCGUCCUCUUCAUCUUGCUGUCGUCUCCGAUCGAGAUGUUGUUGUCGGAGAACGGCGCAGGGAAGCCUGUGGUAAGGUUGGAGCGGGAAUCCGCCAUUCCGCUGCUCAAGCCUAAGCUCAGCAUGACGCUCCCGGCCUCAUAGGUUUGGUUUCUGCGAUUUGGCUGUGUUUCCGAGAAAGCUUCCUUGUUUCUACUCGCUAUUCACUAGUUUAAAUGGAAAACAGAAACCUGGAUUCUAUGGAUGCGAAUUGGGGAAGAUUCUUCAUCAAAGAUACCGGAACUUUUGCCUUUAUUCAAGUUCAAAGCAUUCAACUAACCAACUUGAGUUUGUCAAGCUUUGCAAGAGAGUUGAAUACACUAUUGGCGCAUGUUUGGUAUAGGCACGCAGCUUGUCAUCUAGACGUGAUGAUUAAAUUGGAGAGCUGAGGCGAUGCUGAUCUCAAGAGGGCAUCAUCCCGAACCAACUGGACACGAGAACAAAAGCACUGAUUGCCUAUGACAAUAAUGUUGACCAAUGGAUGGCGGGGGCGCUAUGCCACUUAUUAGUGGAUUAUGCCAAAUUGCAUUAAUGUCCAUUUUCAACCUUAUUCAGACACUACAAUGCAUUAGCAUUUGUAUGGUCAUCCUCAAACUGCAGAUUCCUUUCUUUUUGACUAAUUCUUUCCGCGUUCUACUAGAACACGGUUCUUGAAUUUGAUUUUGAUCGAAUCACGUCUCAAUAUUGAUCUUUUAUCAGAUUAUUUUUCUUGUAUAAAAUAUUUUUGUAUUAUCUUUGAUUUUCAAGUUCUCUAAAAAAACUUCCAAAUGCAAGUUAUGGCAUGAUUUUAAAACAACAAUAGAAUGGCCAAUAAAUUUGUAUAGCGAAACACAUUCUACGAAGUUAUUCUUCUGCAAUGGCUUUCACGAUGACUUGGCAUCAUCGCAUACCUUUUAGUUCUCACGGUCAAUAACAGUGUUGAAUAUUUCAUUGAUUUUUUUUUUCUGUUUUAGAAAAAGAAGAUGCUCCAAU